UUUUUGCGUUAGGGAUUGAAGCGGAAAUCCUUAUCUUCAAGCUCGCUUGGGGAGAAGAUUGCAGCGAAAAGCCCGCCCGAAC
rnacentral:sRNA from 1 species